rnacentral:lncRNA from 1 species
AAUACAUAAAAUAACAAAGAUGGUGCUUGAUUUGGUAAAUAAGUGGGUGAUCAUAGUGCUGGUGAGUAGAUGAUCAUAGUGCUUGGUGAGUAGAUGAUCAUAGUGCUUGAGUUGGUAAAGUAGUGGAUGAUCAUCUCAAUGUUUAUCUUACAACACUCCCCCUUGAUCAUCCAUCUUGUAUUAAAUUAAGUUUCGUAAC